GACGAACGCUGGCGGCGUGCUUAACACAUGCAAGUCGAACGGAAAGGCCCUGCUUUUGUUGGGUGCUCGAGUGGCGAACGGGUGAGUAACACGUGAGUAACCUGCCCUUGACUUUGGGAUAACUUCAGGAAACUCGGGCUAAUACCGGAUAGGAGCUCCUGCUGCAUGGUGGGGGUUGGAAAGUUUCGGCGGUUGGGGAUGGACUCGCGGCUUAUCAGCUUGUUGGUGGGGUAGUGGCUUACCAAGGCGUUGACGGGUAGCCGGCCUGAGAGGGGGACCGGCCACAUGGGGACUGAGAUACGGCCCAGACUCCUACGGGAGGCAGCAGUGGGGAAUAUUGCACAAUGGGCGGAAGCCGGAUGCAGCAACGCCGCGUGCGGGAUGACGGCCUUCGGGUUGUAAACCGCUUUCGCCUGUGACGAAGCGUGAGUGACGGUAAUGGGUAAAGAAGCACCGGCUAACUACGUG
rnacentral:rRNA from 1 species